CUUCGGAGACAUCCGAUAAAAUUGGAACGAUACAGAGAAGAUUAGCAUGGCCCCUGCGCAAGGAUGACACGCACAAAUCGAGAAAUGGUCCAAAUUUUUUUUUCGCUCUCGGCAUUCUUUCCUUGUUCGAUCGCGAUCGGGCUGCUCUUCUUAUGCUCUUUUGUUCUUUCUUGCUUCGUGUUCUUCUGCUCUCUCUGUCCCAAAAUCUUAAUCUUUUUCCUUCUUAUUUCCUUGAUCAAGGCACAGGGAGGAAGAAAGCUGCUUCUUCGGAGUGCGGUCGUGUUCCUUGUCCUCGUUGGUCAGUCCAUGGACGCUGGUCCUCUUCCUCGCUCGCUGAUCCACACCAAUGCGGACGCCUCCGUAGAAUCAAAUCGCAUGAUGUGCUGCCCUUGGUCCGAAGCGCCGCUGCGAGGAAAAAGAUUGUCCGACAUCACCAACACGGUGAGUUCGGGGACGGCCGGAAUGAUGGGUGCCGAUGUCGAUCGAGGUAACUCGAAUGUGAUUUCUUGCCCGAUCUCCAAAGAUUGCAUCGUCCAGCUCAUGAAGCGCCGCUGCGAGGAAAAAGAUUGUCCGACAUUACCAACACGGUGAGUUCGGGGACGGCCGGAAUGAUGGGUGCCGAUGUCGAUCGAGGUAACUCGAAUGUGAUUUCUUGCCCGAUCUCCAAAGAUUGCAUCGUCCAGCUCAUGAAGCGCCGCUGCGAGGAAAAAGAUUGUCCGACAUCACCAACACGGUGAGUUCGGGGACGGCCGGAAUGAUGGGUGCCGAUGUCGAUCGAGGUAACUCGAAUGUGAUUUCUUGCCUGAUCUCCGAAGAUUGCAUCGUCCAGCUCAUGAAGGUACCUUUGGAGAUUUUCUUUUUGGUCUCCCUUUUUCAUCCUUUUUCAUUCUUCUUCGGAGUGCGGUCGUGUUCCUUGUCCUCGUUGGUCAGUCCAUGGACGCUGGUCCUCUUCCUCGCUCGCUGAUCCACACCAAUGCGGACGCCUCCGAAUCAAAUCGCAUGAUGUGCUGCCCUUGGUCCGAAGCGCCGCUGCGAGGAAAAAGAUUGUCCGACAUCACCAACACGGUGAGUUCGGGGACGGCCGGAAUGAUGGGUGCCGAUGUCGAUCGAGGUAACUCGAAUGUGAUUUCUUGCCCGAUCUCCAAAGAUUGCAUCGUCCAGCUCAUGAAGCGCCGCUGCGAGGAAAAAGAUUGUCCGACAUUACCAACACGGUGAGUUCGGGGACGGCCGGAAUGAUGGGUGCCGAUGUCGAUCGAGGUAACUCGAAUGUGAUUUCUUGCCCGAUCUCCAAAGAUUGCAUCGUCCAGCUCAUGAAGCGCCGCUGCGAGGAAAAAGAUUGUCCGACAUCACCAACACGGUGAGUUCGGGGACGGCCGGAAUGAUGGGUGCCGAUGUCGAUCGAGGUAACUCGAAUGUGAUUUCUUGCCCGAUCUCCGAAGAUUGCAUCGUCCAGCUCAUGAAGGAAUAUACUGCCUUGUUGAAGCUUCUUGCAGAAAAGAACAAAAUCAUAGAACUAAGAAGCACUGAGUUGCAAAAACUCCAAUUUGAAUUGCAGAAAACCAGUCAACAAAACUGGCAAUUGGCCCGGGCUAACUCACACAUGCUAGCGGUCGAUUCCUUGUUCAUUUUCUUUAUUGUUUCAGUUCGCAAAAAAGAUUUAUUCUUUAUCUGUUUCGUCUUUUGAUUCGCAGGAGCUCAACUUGGGGAAAGAUAGACUAAAUGUAUUACAACAUGAGCUUGGUUGUAUCUUAUCAAUCCUUAAACUAAAGACUUCAGAAUUAGAGGAGAAAGAAAAAUUGAUCAAAGAUCUCCUUAACAAAAUUGGCUCAGAGGUAGGAACCACCAAGUGUUAAGAGGUUGAAGCAAAUGCAACUCAACUUGCUAAUGACAAGAAAAUCUGUAGUCCCAAUAAGAAGCACGAGUUAAAACAACAGGCUUUAGGCCCUACCACUUUGGUUCAUCAAGUGGCAUCAGAGGGAAAGGUUGAUGGUAGAAGAAGGAGGUCCUUACGAACAAAAUCCAGUGGCUUGAAGUCUGAAUCAUGUGAAUUUGUGAAUGACCUGCUCAAAAGAGAUGAUGGCGGAUCUCCAGUGACCCAUCAAGUGGGCCUAGAGGAAAAGGUUGUGGGAAGAAGAAGUUCCUUCCGAACAAGAUCCUGUAGUUUGAAAUCUGAAUCACAUGAAUCUAUGGAGUUGCACAAGAUUGAUGAUGCCAUACUUCCAGUGACUUGUCAGGUGCCAUCAGAGGAAAAGAUUGAUGGAAGAAGAGCAGAAAAUCCUUGCGGAGGAGAUCCGGUUAUUUAAAGUCUGAAUCAUGUGAGCCUACUGAGAACUCAGUCAAGAUGGAGGAUGCCAAGUUUUUAGUUUAUACGAUCAAGAAUGAACGAGUAAGCUAUUGCUCAUGGAGAUUGUUAUUCUUCUUCCAUAUCAAAUAUUUCUGUUGAACGAGUAAAGAAUGAGAAGCAUAAUUCAAUUGGGUCUUCAGAACUCGGGAAUCGGGAGUGCCAAAGAAGAUCCUCUGUUGGAAGGCCAUUGAGAAGGUCGGUUCUUACAAAGAAAUGAAUCUGAAUGUAAAAAUGUGAAGAUCAGAGUACGAUUCUGGGUUAUCUGCUUACAUCACUAAAAUUUCAGAUGGUGCUAGCUGAGAGCUGCUGAUAUUCUUGGAUCCACUUAAUAUAUCUGCUAGAUGAGAGCUGGACAUGCCAAUGUUUUCUAUGUUCUUGAUAUUUUGUGAUGACAUGGUGAAAUGUAUUACUGUAUUGUAAGAUUAAUUAGUAGGAACCCAUAGCUUAGUUUUGUAGCUUCUUUCCUUCCUUUUAGUUUGCCCUGCACAAAACAGGGAUAUUUUGAGACAAAAUAGUAGUAGCAUUAUAUGUUGUAUGAUUUGCUACGAUUGAAAUUUAUACUUGUCUCAAGGAAAAAAUGGUGCUUUGUUUUUUCU